CCAUCUUAACUUCCUAUCACUGAUACAGCAUUUAGCCAACCAUGCAUUUACCUCCUUUUUGUCCCUAGAGACAUCGAUCUCCUUUUUGAGCAGUUCAACUCUUUGGAAGGCUUCAAGGCUGGUCACAGCAUACACCAGAACAAAGCCAUCAGCAACAGAGAAAUAGUGUUUUGGCAAUUCUACGCCCUCCUGCAGACCUCUGGUGUCAUAAAGCCGUAACUGUUCCUUCACGCCUCGGUCUGUCUCCACCGACGCCAAAUACACGUCUUCCAUUGUGGCACCCUCUUCUAAGCCUGUUUGAAAACAAGCAGGAAAGUUCAACUGCUAUAGGUUUUCCAAACUCCAACCACCCAGUGUACCAGUUCUGUGCCAAACAUGCUGCAAACAGGCCUGCCCAAACAUACCCUUUUGGAAGAACAGCUGAGAAACACCAGAUAGCAAGAAAGUCAACAGGAGGCACAUGAGCACUGACACAGACACAUGGCUGAUUUACAGCCAGGAGGAACCUCUCGUGUAUUGACACAAUGGCUGUGACACUUCAGAGAAUGGCCCCAGACCUUGUGCUCUGAGCCUCCAACUAAGUUCAGGCAUGCCUCUUGUCACUGGGAGGAGGAUGUGCAUGCCAUCAAAAUGGAAAGACUCCAUGCAUUGGCUCAGCAGUUGUCCCCACGGCUCCCCGGCCCUCAGACCAGCCACGGAGCUGCUCCUGACGUCAGUCAGGAAGCACAGGUUUUGAAACAGCUUGUGUCCAUGUUGCCAUGCCCGGUGAGCUGCCUUGUUGGUUGGCUCUGAACAGACAGGCUUUCAGCAAA